GGAGGGCUAGACCUAACGGUAAGGCAGCGGACUUGAAAUCCGCCGGGCUCUUAAGAAGCCCUUGGGAGUUCGAAUCUCCCGCCCUCCG
rnacentral:tRNA from 2 species